rnacentral:rRNA from 1 species
GUGCCAGCCGCCGCGGUAAUACGGAGGAUGCAAGCGUUAUCCGGAAUUAUUGGGCGUAAAGCGUCCGCAGGUGGUUUUGAAAGUUUGCUGUCAAAGCGCGGAGCUUAACUUCGUACCGGCAGUGAAAACUACAAGACUAGAGUUUGGUAGGGGCAGAGGGAAUUCCCAGUGUAGCGGUGAAAUGCGUAGAGAUUGGGAAGAACACCGGUGGCGAAAGCGCUCUGCUAGGCCAAAACUGACACUGAGGGACGAAAGCUAGGGGAGCGAAUGGGAUUAGAUACCCCAGUAGUCCUAGCCGUAAACGAUGGAUACUAGGUGUAGCUUGUAUCGACCCAAGCUGUGCCGUAGCUAACGCGUUAAGUAUCCCGCCUGGGGAGUACGCGCGCAAGCGUGAAACUCAAAGGAAUUGACGGGGGCCCGCACAAGCGGUGGAGUAUGUGGUUUAAUUCGAUGCAACGCGAAGAACCUUACCAGGACUUGACAUGUCGCGAAUCUUACUGAAAGGUAGGAGUGCCUUAGGGAGCGCGAACACAGGUGGCGCAUGGCUGUCGUCAGCUCGUGUCGUGAGAUGUCGGGUUAAGUCCCGCAACGAGCGCAACCCUCGUUUUUAGUUGCCAUCAUUAAGUUGGGCACUCUAGAGAGACUGCCGGUGACAAACCGGAGGAAGGUGGGGAUGACGUCAAGUCAGCAUGCCCCUUACGUUCUGGGCUACACACGUACUACAAUGCUACGGACAAAGGGUAGCAAGACAGCGAUGUCAAGCCAAUCCAUAAACCGUGGCUCAGUUCAGAUUGCAGGCUGCAACUCGCCUGCAUGAAGGCGGAAUCGCUAGUAAUCGCAGGUCAGCACUACUGCGGUGAAUACGUUCCCGGGCCUUGUACACACCGCCCGUCACACCAUGGAAGCUGGCUUAGCCCGAAGUCGUUACCCUAACCGAAAGGAGGGGGAUGCCGAAGGCAGGGCUGGUGACUGGGGUGAAGUCGUAACAAGGUAACC